CUUGAACGCUGGCGGCAUGCCUUACACAUGCAAGUCGAACGGCAGCAUGAUCUAGCUUGCUAGAUUGAUGGCGAGUGGCGAACGGGUGAGUAAUACAUCGGAACGUGCCCUGUAGUGGGGGAUAACUAGUCGAAAGAUUAGCUAAUACCGCAUACGACCUGAGGGUGAAAGUGGGGGACCGCAAGGCCUCAUGCUAUAGGAGCGGCCGAUGUCUGAUUAGCUAGUUGGUGAGGUAAAGGCUCACCAAGGCGACGAUCAGUAGCUGGUCUGAGAGGACGAUCAGCCACACUGGGACUGAGACACGGCCCAGACUCCUACGGGAGGCAGCAGUGGGGAAUUUUGGACAAUGGGGGCAACCCUGAUCCAGCAAUGCCGCGUGUGUGAAGAAGGCCUUCGGGUUGUAAAGUACUUUUGUCCGGAAAGAAAUCGCACUUACUAAUAUUAGGUGUGGAUGACGGUACUGGAAGAAUAAGGACCGGCUAACUACGUGCCAGCCGCCGCCGUAACAC
rnacentral:rRNA from 1 species